rnacentral:rRNA from 1 species
UACGUAGGGUGCAAGCGUUAAUCGGAAUUACUGGGCGUAAAGCGUGCGCAGGCGGCUUUGCAAGACAGAUGUGAAAUCCCCGGGCUUAACCUGGGAACUGCAUUUGUGACUGCAUGGCUAGAGUGCGGCAGAGGGGGAUGGAAUUCCGCGUGUAGCAGUGAAAUGCGUAGAUAUGCGGAGGAACACCGAUGGCGAAGGCAGCCCCCUGGGUCAAAACUGACGCUCAUGCACGAAAGCGUGGGGAGCAAACAGG